UACAGGGGGUGCAAACGUUGCUCGGAAUCAUUGGGCGUAAAGCGCACGUAGGCGGUCUGUUAUGUCGGAUGUGAAAGCCCUUGGCUCAACUGAGGAAGUGCAUCCGAAACUGGCAGGCUAGAGUACGAAAGAGGAUCGCGGAAUUCCCGGUGUAGAGGUGAAAUUCGUAGAUAUUCGCAAGAACACCAGUGGCGAAGGCGGCUCACUGGCCCGGUACUGACGCUGAGGCACGAAAGCGUGGGGAGCAAACAGG
rnacentral:rRNA from 1 species